UACGUAGGUGACAAGCGUUGUCCGGAUUUACUGGGCGUAAAGAGCGCGCAGGCGGUCGUUCAAGUCGAGUGUGAAAGCCCCCGGCUCAACUGGGGAGGGUCAUUCGAUACUGAUCGACUCGAAGGCAGGAGAGGGAAGUGGAAUUCCCGGUGUAGUGGUGAAAUGCGCAGAUAUCGGGAGGAACACCGGUGGCGAAGGCGGUUCUCUGGGCCUGUGCUGACGCUGAGGAGCGAAAGCGUGGGGAGCGAACAGG
rnacentral:rRNA from 1 species